CUUAACAUGGCUUUAUAUCAUGCCUUUAAUCGUUUGUUGAGUAAUUUAUACAGAACUAGUCUGUUUUGUUGAAGUGCGGUAUCGCGACUGUUGAUAUUUUAUAACUUGAUCAUCUUUAUGGCAGAUUACGAUUCAUAGAUGCUCAUCUUUGUUUAUAGAGUAAAUUGACAAGCAGAAUGAUACCAGUUACUAAUGGAAGCCAAUUGAAAACAAGAAUGUCCACAACAGCUGGCUGGUUCUAAUGAUUGUGGGAUCUUCAUAUUGAUGGGGGGCAUAUGGAAGAACUCCAUGGCAUAGUUCAUCAGCUUCAGUGUGGGGCUGAACCAUAUGCAUUAGCAAGGUUGAGCCAGACGACAUGCAGGUCUGUCUUUUCCCGCUUGGCCUUGUGUAUCUGGUCCCUGAUCAUUGUAGUGUUCUCUACGCACCUUGAGAGGCCUGGGACUCCCUCCUUCUGGCAGUUGGUGUCGAUGUAGCCAUUCUCAAGGAGGUAGGUGGUCAUCUACGUUCAGCAGAGCAAUGUUUCUGUUCUCAUAAGGUACCAUAGCAGCUGUAGUACCUUGGUCAAUCUCCUUUUCCCUCCUUCCCUUCUUUUUUUUGUGCGGUCCUGUGGUUGGAGGUCACUUUGCCAAACCUGUUCUUGCAGGCCUGGUAUAUAGGAUGUCCACAAUCUGGUUGAGUUUGGAUUCCGCCCCCCCCUCGCAAAGAUCCCUCCAGUGUCUUAGUCAGGUCUUUAUCCAGUGUUCGCCAUGCCUCUGUGUUGCUUGCUUUUGGCCAU